CCCCUUAUUCAUCCUGCAGGAGUUGGAUUGGCUUUGUCUGGGGCGGGAUCAAAAGUGGUCACACCGGUGGGCGGGGUAGAAAUAGGAGGUUAGGUCUCCAUUCAGACUCUGUUGGAGGGUCCUCGAGCCGGGUCCACACCCACCCCGCCUGGAGAAGCCAGCCCCCUUCACCAGCUCCCAUGGGCUUCUCUCUACACCGGUAGCAAGCAGUCCCAGAGUUCCCACUCCAAGGUCGCUGAGUCUCUGCUGACAGAUGAGUCUAUAUCCUCAUGCUCCUGCUUCAUGUACCCACAUUGGGAACUUUUGUUACUAUGACCCACAGUAACUUCUCAGAUCGGCCGGCCCCGUCAUCAUAUUUCCACCGCCUUGACACUGCUCACCUAGUAGGUAACACAUACUGUAUACUUUGUCCCUAACACAGGAUACUUGGCCCAUGACCCUGUGAGGUGGGUACCAUUAUUAUUCUCACUGACAGGUAAAAUGACUGGUGGCCCCAAGUCAGGCAGUUAAUUACGACAGCACUCUAGAACAAACAGCCCUACCUACUAUAUGAGUCAGACUGCCACAUCUCAGGAUCUUGGCACAACAAUUUGUCUGUCUAUCUUGUCCCCAGAAAAUGUCCCCAGCACAUUGUUCCCUGGACAUUAAUGACUCCUUCCUGUAGCUAGGCCAUCGUAGCAUAUAUAAAACUCACUGCUGCACGGGGGUGACAAAGGAAGCGCCAUCGCCAUUCCUCUUGUAGUCCAAGAAUGAGCUGCAUGCCCCCCCUCUGCCCCCACCUACUACCUACCGGGAAGACUAGGCCAAGGACACAUAGGGGAACAUGUGGGAGUUUAUGUUCUCACUGUGCUGCUUCGAAGAGAUCCCCUGCCCUUACCUGUCUUAGCCUUCCUUAACCACACCAUCAGCAAGGCUACAGCAGGACCUCUACAGCAGGACCUCCGGUGCUGCCACCAGGGCUUUGCUGACCCUUGUCACAGAGUCUGCUGUUUGUCCGCACUAUCUUUCCUGCUUUCCUUCUCUACUUCACUGACCCCUUCAUUUCUAUCUCCCUUCCCUCUGUCUUCCUUCUACACAACCAUUCUCCUCUUAAGGUCCCUCCUCGGGUCAUGUCCUGCCUUGGGAGUUCGUGCAAUUUUAGUGUGCUUGUCCUGUUUUAUCAGCUGCAGCACGUGACAAUAUCUGUUGUUACUUUUCUCUGCUUCGUGCCCUUUAGAAUUAGGGACUGGAGAAGUGUUUUAGUCAGUAAAGGACUCGCUGUGUAAACACGAGGUCUUGAGUUUGGAUUCCAAUCAUCCACAUUAAAAGCCAGGGGUGGGGGGAGGGAGGCUCUGUCCUACCACUGCAGAGGCAGAGGCAGGAGUUUCCCUGGGGCCUUCUGACCAAGGCCAUUGUGACCAAACUGGGGAGUGGCAGGUCCAAUGAGAAAAUAAUGUGGAAAGUGAUGGAGAGAACAUAAGCUAUCCUAUGACGAGUGUUGUACGGAUCUGUAUUUCUUUGCUCUGGGGGUGGGGGCACCUUUGUUUAUCUUUCUGUAUCUGCUUGUUUCUGUGCAGAAGUUUUGCAUUUCUCAUACAGUCAGUAUAUUAAUCAUUCUCUACCACUUCAGAUACUGUUUUAGAGAAAGGAAGAGGCAAUUCAUUGUUUUGGGGGAAAUACGUUUCCUUAUCAGUAUCAUUUGAAAUGCACGCAAGGUUAAACCGAAGAGAGCAAACCCUCCAAGGUUUUAAAAUGCGUUUCUCUGUUUGAUUUCUCUUGCUCCAGGUAGCUACCCAAUUCUUGAACCUUGUUUAGACCAUACCAAUUGUCUUGGACAAGGUUUGUUUCUCAUUGGUUGAAUUUCCUGCCUUGGCAGUUGUUAAAUAUUUUCAAUACUUCUUCUGUGCCUACCACAGAAGAAAGCCAGGUAUUAGAGGUCGCUGAAAAGGCCAAAUGGCAACAGCCAAUAAAAAGAAGGCAUGGAGAACAUCUUAACACAUUAAUCAAUUUCUUUCUUGUGUUAAGUUACACUGACUUUGGGUUUUUAAGUAAAACCUUAACGAAUUUGCUCUGUCCUAUGACCCCUUUCCUUCCUGGUUUUCCAGACGUCAUCUUUUGUUCUCUAGAUACCUGAGUACCUCCUUCUUCUACCUAGAACACCCUGAAUAGCCACAGGCUGACAUUUGCUAGUUAGGAAUGCAUGGCAGUCAAGGAAAUAGGCAAAAAUGACAGAAAAGUGUAUUUUCAUUUACUAACUACUUAGCUACUUUUCUCAGCUGAAUAUUCCCAGUUGUAACUAUUUCUACUGAAAGACCUGAGAAAAGGACAGAUAUAACAAGGAAAGGAGAGAAAGAACACAGCAGGAGAGGACAAUUUAGAAUGUGACUAUAGGUGGCGAGCCACAUGAACCCAACCUGUGUCCCCAGUGCUGACCAGCAAGCUCUAGGACUGAAUGGCUGCCCUGCGUGGCUCUUAUCAGGCUCUGAUCUGGUUUUCCUUUUACAGGCCCCCAUUGCUCUCCUUUGGGAUGGAAAUGUUUACCUUGUACUAUUGUAUCUGAGUGUUUUAUUUUUACAGCAAGGAAUCUGCCUCAAACUUCAGAGCAGACUUUGAACUUGGACUUCAGUAAUGCUGUUAACUGGAGACACAAGUGUUCACUAUCAUUUUCUGGAUACUCAGAUAUCAAAUUUUUACCAGGUCACCCACAAACGGAUUGAGCCACAUGACUAAAUCUAGCUCCACAGCGUCCAGUACAACAGCAGCAAUCACACAUGACUGCUGAGUCUAAAAAAGAAGUUUGUCCACACUGAGAAGUACUGCCUGGUGAAAUAUGGUUGACAUUCCAAACACUUGGUAAAAAGAAAUUGCAAGUCAAAAUUAAAACACUUUGUGUUGUGUUAAGCACAACGUGUGA